UACGGGGGGGGCAAGCGUUGUUCGGAAUUACUGGGCGUAAAGGGCUCGUAGGCGGCCAACUAAGUCCGACGUGAAAUCCCCAGGCUUAACCUGGGAACUGCGUCGGAUACUGGAUGGCUUGAAUUCGGGAGAGGGAUGCAGAAUUCCAGGUGUAGCGGUGAAAUGCGUAGAUAUCUGGAGGAAUACCGGUGGCGAAGGCGGCAUCCUGGACCGGCAUUGACGCUGAGGAGCGAAAAGCUAGGGGAGCAAACGGGG
rnacentral:rRNA from 1 species